rnacentral:rRNA from 1 species
UACGUAGGGUGCAAGCGUUAAUCGGAAUUACUGGGCGUAAAGCGUGCGCAGGCGGUUGUGCAAGACCGAUGUGAAAUCCCCGGGCUUAACCUGGGAAUUGCAUUUGAUACUGGAGAGCUAGAGUGUGGUAGAGGGUGGUGGAAUUCCGCGUGUAGCAGUGAAAUGCGUAGAGAUGCGGAGGAACACCGAUGGCGAAGGCAGCCCCCUGGGCCAACACUGACGCUCAGGCACGAAGGCGUGGGGAGCAAACAGG